rnacentral:lncRNA from 1 species
AAACUUUGGAUUUAGAAACCAUUUAUGGACUCCAACUACUUGAAUUUAAUGCACGGAAACUUUCCACCUUUUAAUCUGGACUUUUCACCUAGCUUCCUUUACUCCAAGAAACUAUUGGUUUAGCCUCUCAUCCUCUGGGAAAACAUCCUCAGAGGGUGUUUGGCUUCCAAGAAAAUAGAAAAUAGUAGAGAGAAAAAGAAAGCAAAAGAGAUCUCUGUAUUUCACUAAGUAACAAAUUUACAUAAGUUGGUGUCCUGGAGAAAGCUCCC